rnacentral:lncRNA from 1 species
CCUCUUACUCGCAUUAAAGGAAAAAUACAUAAAUAACCCUCCACAUGUGUUCCCAAAAUUCAUGUAAGAAUGUUUAGUUCAAUGAAUAUACGUAUAUAUAUAUUAGGAAAACAAGGUUAAACUAAAGUACAAAAUGACAUACUCUCUUAGGUAUUGCCAUUAUAUACAAAGGUAGUGACGAAAGUAGUUUACAGAAAGUAUUUCAUCCUAACAUCUCUCUUCAUGGCCUCGUAUACAGCUUGAACCUGGACGAGGGCAAUCAUGU